AAGUUCCCUUCUUGCUUUUAAACAGCUUCUCAGCUCCUUUUGUUUUACCACUAGCUUUGCAGAGACUUGUUAGGAAUUUACAGCUUGUGAUUGCUUCACUUUUUUGGAAAUGGCUCUAUGGUUUCAAACAACAUUAACUUUAAAAAAUUAACAAUGCUGAGCGUGGUGGUUCACACCUGUAAUCCCAGCACUUUGGGAAGCUGAGGCAGGUGGAUCACCGGAGGCUGGUCUUGAAUUCCGGACCUCAGGUGAUCCACUAGCCUCGGCCUCCAAAGUGCUGGGAUUACAGGCGUGAGCCACCGCGCCCAGCCGGUUUUUCAAGUAUAAAACAUAACAUUGGGUCAAGCCAGUGGGCUGGACCAUCCA
rnacentral:lncRNA from 10 species